UACGGAGGAUGCGAGCGUUAUCCGGAUUUAUUGGGUUUAGAGGGUGCGCAGGCGGAUUUUUAAGUCAGCGGUCAAAUCGUGGGGCUCAACCCCAUCCAGCCGUUGAAACUGGGGAUCUAGAGUGUGCGAGAGGUAUGCGGAAUGCGUGGUGUAGCGGUGAAAUGCAUAGAUAUCACGCUGAACCCCGAUUGCGAAGGCAGCAUACCGGUGCACAACUGACGCUCAGGCACGAAAGCGUGGGUAUCGAACAGG
rnacentral:rRNA from 1 species